rnacentral:rRNA from 1 species
UGAGCUCAGGCAAGGCUACCCGCUGAA